CCUACGGGUGACAGCAGUGAGGAAUAUUUGUCAAUGGGCGCAAGCCUGAACCAGCCAUGCCGCGUGCAGGAAGACGGCUCUAUGAGUUGUAAACUGCUUUUAUACGGGGGUAAACGCAGAUACGCGUACCUGUCUGAAAGUAUCGUACGAACAAGGAUCGGCUAACUCCGUGCCAGCAGCCGCGGUAAUCCGGAGGGUUCAAGCGUUAUCCGGAUUUAUUGGGUUUAAAGGGUGCGUAGGCGGUCUGAUAAGUUAGAUGUGAAAGCCGGGGGCUCAACUUCGGAAUUGCAACUGAUACUGGUCGGCUAGAGAAUAGUUGCGGUAGGCGGAAUGCAUGGUGUAGCGGUGAAAUGCUUAGAGAU
rnacentral:rRNA from 1 species